GCUUGCAUGGCUCAGCUGGUUAGAGCGCAGGUCUCAUAUCUUGAUAUGACCGUUGAAAUUCAAUGGGUAAUCCUGAGGUCGUGAGUUCGAACCUCACUGCGAGCA